UCAUCUUCGAAGGUGAGGACUGCAUCUCAAUCUAGAGAUACAAAAUCCAGAAUGUUGUCCCAAGUUAAUGUUGCUAGUGUCAAGGGGACAAUCUCAAAUCAAGAAUACAAAGACAUGCCAAGAAAACCAAAUAGAAGGCACAACGAUGUUUGUUUGACACAAAAGAAAAGCCCAGAUUGGACGCACCUGGCACUCUUUUUCGUCCAACUGCCAGAAUGCCAAAACCAGAGAUAACUUGCUUUAUACAGGUUUCUUCGGGUUCAAAAGCUAAUGUACUUAGCCAACAUAAAAGCACUGAACAACAGCCAAUAGCAAGAAACGUUUUCGCAUCUCGUGCUUCCUGUACAGAGAAAGCUAGCCAUAGAUUACAUCUAAGUGUAAACAGGGAUAAGGAGAGUGUAAAUUCAUGUCAACCAGGCAUGAAACAGGAUGGAUCUAGUUUCCGUUUCAAAAGUAAAAGGCGGGCCUGGAAAAGGAAAGAGGCAAAGACAAUUUCUUGUGUCUACUCGAUAAAGUUCAGACGUCGUAUAAAACCUACAAAAAGUUUUUGAUAUUAAUUUCAGUUCUUUAUAAAGCUAGAGGAGAAAGUUCAUGCCAAAGAGGAAGAAACGCAUUAGCUCCAACCAAGAACCCAGGAAAAGAAAUAAGCAGAGAUCAAAUAGCUACGGAGAAAUCUCAAUUUCAAAGCAACUCCCAUGCCUGCCUUCUACCGUGAACCUAGUCGCCGCUUAGACAAAACAUGGUAUUAUAACAGGUCUCAAAUAAUGAGGAUCGUCA